CCUACGGGCGGCAGCAGUGAGGAAUAUUGGUCAAUGGGCGUAAGCCUGAACCAGCCAAGUCGCGUGAGGGAUGACGGACCUAUGGUUUGUAAACCUCUUUUAUAAGGGAAUAAAGUGCCGCACGUGUGGGGUUUUGUAUGUACUUUAUGAAUAAGCAUCGGCUAACUCCGUGCCAGCAGCCGCGGUAAUACGGAAGAUUCGAGCGUUAUCCGGAUUUAUUGGGUUUAAAGGGAGCGUAGGUGGGUUCUUAAGUCAGUCGUGAAAAUCGGCGGCUCAACCGUAACGUUGCAGUGGAAACUGGGGGACUUGAGUAUAGGCGAGGUAGGUGGAAUUCGUGGUGUAGCGGUGAAAUGCUUAGAUAUCACGAAGAACUCCGAUCGCGAAGGCAUUGUACUGGAGCAAGACUGACGCUGAGGCUCGAAAGUGUGGGUAUCAAACAGGAUUAGAUACCCUUGUAGUC
rnacentral:rRNA from 1 species